rnacentral:rRNA from 1 species
AGCUACAACUGACACUGAAGCASGAAGGSGUGGGGAUCAAACAGGAUAGAUACCCUGGUAGUCCMGSCAGUAAACGAUGAUUACUAGCUGUUUGCGAUACACAGUAAGCGGCACAGSGAAAGCGUUAAGUAAUCCACCUGGGGAGUACGCCGGCAACGGUGAAACUCAAAGGAAUUGACGGGGGCCCGCACAAGCGGAGGAACAUGUGGUUUAAUUCGAUGAUACGCGAGGAACCUUACCCGGGUUGAACGUAGGGAGACAGGAGUGGAAACAUUCUAUUCAGCAAUGACUGCCUACGAGGUGCUGCAUGGUUGUCGUCAGCUCGUGCCGUGAGGUGUCGGCUUAAGUGCCAUAACGAGCGCAACCCUUAUUUCCAGUUACUAACAGGUGAAGCUGAGGACUCUGGAGAGACUGCCAGCGUAAGCUGUGAGGAAGGUGGGGAUGACGUCAAAUCAGCACGGCCCUUACAUCCGGGGCGACACACGUGUUACAAUGGUAAGGACAAAGGGCAGCUACCGGGCGACCGGAUGCGAAUCUCUAAACCUUAUCUCAGUUCGGAUCGGAGUCUGCAACUCGACUCCGUGAAGCUGGAUUCGCUAGUAAUCGCGCAUCAGCCAUGGCGCGGUGAAUACGUUCCCGGGCCUUGUACACACCGCCCGUCAAGCCAUGGGAGCCGGGGGUACCUGAAGUUCGUAACCGCAAGGAUCGACCUAGGGUAAAACUGGUGACUGGGGCUAAGUCGUAACAAGGUAACC